CGUGUAGGCGGUGCGGUAAGUUGGGCGUGAAAUCCCCGAGCUUAACUCGGGUGGGCCGUUCAAGACUGCCGUGCUAGGGUGCGGGAGAGGGCAGUGGAAUUUCCGGUGUAGCGGUGAAAUGCGUAGAUAUCGGGAGGAACACCUGCGGCGAAGGCGGCUGCCUGGACCGUAACCGACGCCGAGGCGCGAAAGCUAGGGGAGCAAACAGGAUUAGAUACCCUGGUAGUCCUAGCCCUAAACGAUGAGCACUGGGUGUGGCCCCUCACGGGGCCGUGCCGAAGCUAACGCAUUAAGUGCUCCGCCUGGGGAGUACGGUCGCAAGGCUGAA
rnacentral:rRNA from 1 species